rnacentral:lncRNA from 1 species
GUAGCUCCUUUAUCUCCAAAUUUGGGGCUUUAUGUUUCCAUUAAAAAUUCUAGGCUGUAAAUGCUGGGAAAUUUUCAGUCAACAUCCAUGACAGGACUUAUUUCCUUCAAAUACCAUGUAUGUUUAGGCAGUGCUAUGGACUUAAUUAUGUGAUCUGCAUAUUUGGUAUCACUGAGCCCCUACUAUGCAUUAUGUAGUGUGGGGAAUAAAGUCUGCUUUCUAAAGAGGCUGGAGAGUUGGACUUUCUUCUGCUGACAGUUGGUGGAUGGCUGGGAAUGAAGAUUUUGAAUAGUGCAUAGGAUGGGGUAGGGGUGGGGCCAGAUAUGAAGCCAUGGUGACAGAAGCACUGGGGAAGGAGAAUAAAGCAACUAAGAGAGGUUUGUAGGGCAAGGUGAAAAACAGAUGCAUGAUCACUUGAUGGGUAAAAUUAGAGAAGUGAAAAGCAAAGGAACAAGAUGAGAAAAGAAAGAACAAACCCAGGGUGUAACUGGAAGAUUGAUUUCAUGGCAAAAGGGAACUUAUCUUAUAUGCAUAUAACUUGCUAUGUAUGAUAGCCAGGAUAAUAUCUUCUUCUCUAAAAGGGAAAGGAAGAAUUUCCAAAGGCCUAAGGAAUUUUCAUCUAAUGCUAUACACAUCUAGAAAUGCAUACUCAGAGACUUUAAUAAUCCCUAUGUUAUAUUAACUGGGAAGCAAUGAGAAGUCUAAAAGCAGCUUUUCUGCAUAAGGGGAUGAGUAUUAUCAUAGCUAAUCUAGAACCAGGAAAGACAAGCCCUUAGCCAACAUUUCUUAUUAUUAAAAAGAGAAGGUGUUUCCAAAGUUACAGUACAGUCAGUCCUCUAUAAAAUUGAUAUAUAAAUACCUAUCCAUGUUAGCAAAGGAAAGCUGAUUCUAUUUUUAUAGCAAUCCAAAAUGUGUUAGUUUAGAGGCCUCAAGGAAGUACUUGAAUAUGAGUUUUAUGAUUAUUUAAAAAACACAAUCCUAAUGCAAAAUUCCUACUUUAUUUAUGCUUCAGAUUGAGAGAUGAAAAGUCAUCAUUUUAAUUCAGGUCAAAUAAGCAUUCCUGAAAGAAGCCAAGAGGUGAGCUGGAGUUUAAGAUAUUUCUCCAUGGAAUUUUCUGUGUUUCUUUCAAGUCCACUGAAUGAUGCCAAAAAUGUGCAGAAGAAGAAAGAUCUUGGCUUCUCUCUGCACGAGUUUGAGGGUGUGAAUGAAAAGUUCUGCAGUCAUCGUCUCCAUGGGAAAAAAAAAAUCUGAUUUUAGUAACAUCUUGCCAUAUACAAGAGUUAUUUUUUGAAAAAGUUUCUAAGCUUGUCAAAAUAUUCCUAGGUGCGAGUUUAGUGUUUCUUGAAAAACUGAAGAGGCAGAAGGUAAAAAAGCAAACGUUCAUGACUAUGUUUGGCCUUUCUCAUUCGUGUAUGAAAUAACUGUUGAACAAGGAAGAAAGAUAAAAUUCCUAUCUGAAAAGAUAGUGCCCACAUGUCUCUGACUGUUCCAUUCUCAACUAUGUUUUUAUUCCUCCUCUUCCUCCUCUUUGAUUACUUGAUUUCUUCUCAUCCAUGGAAGCUCAAAGCAAACAACCUUCUUACCAAAGCACCUUCCUUGUUUGCUAUCAACUAGCAUUCUCGGGAGCUCAAAGCAGUUUUUUCCUUACGUUUCACUUAUUUGGUAUGUAAAUUAUAAAUAUAUUGUUAGGCAAUCAAAUCAUAUUUUCUCUAUAAGUUUACUAAGACUUUGAAGCAAGGGGUACAUGUCUCUUACCUGCAUGGCUUUGUGAACAGCAGCAGCUCUAUUGACUUAUCCCCUCUGAGACAAAACAGGUGGGACAUAGGGAGGAUUAUAAAACACAAGAAGCUCAAGAAGGAGUUGAAUUCCUCUGCCGCUUCCUGCUACCAACACUCUAUCCCCACAAAAUCUGAGAGUGAUCUGUUAGCCAUGAAACCAUGUCUUUGGGGGUUGGUGUCAUAAUUAUCAUUAAAGGGCUUAGCUGUAGGAAAUGGCCUUGCUUUCUAAAUUUCACUGAAAUAGCCUACAUGUCCAGAACAAUUAAGAAUUAUAUAGGUUAGAAAAAAGUGUCUUUUAAAAUUAAAUAGUUGUGCUGUGAUUCAAACUGCCUUGUUUCCAAAUAUCCAUCCUUUUAACCAGGAAGGCACAUUUUCAACAUGACAUAAAAAAAGGGCUGAUAUAACAAAGAAAUUAAAGAAUAUCAAAGCCAACACAGUAAAAAGUGGAACCAGAUUAGCAGAAAGAACGUUUCCUCGGUCAUGAGGGAAUUUAAUUCUUAUCACCUGCUGUGGAAGAUUGGCAACAGCAUUCCUGACCUAAAGAAUAAACUUCUAAUUGUUCUUAAGAAGGUAAUUCCACCAAGGUAAUUCUAGGUCUGCUUCAGCUAUUCCUUAUUUUUGAGUGAUUUUAUUUCAGACUUAAAUCCAUUCCCUUGACGAUAACUGGAGAAAUGAAGCAUAGGAAGAAAAUUGUCCAGAAAGGAUAACACCAAACAUUAAUCUCUUUUGGAACAGAGAGACUCUUUGUUUUUAGUAAACUAGACACAGUUUCAUGGGCAUGUAGGUACUUGAGUGCCCACAAUGCACCAGGCAAUGUGCUGGGGGUGGCAAGAAAUAAAUGCAAUGCUUCUCUACUCUGUGGCAAGCCCUGUGAUAGAACUUUUUACACGCCAUCUCAGCAGACCCUGCAUUUGUCUAAUGUCUAUUUCAUGCUUUUUACACCUGUGUAAGGCAGUCUAUAAGGUGGCUCCCAACUGUCUCAGCCUCCUGGUAUUCAUACCCUUGAUUAUUCCCUCCCCUUAAAUGUCCUAUACUUAUUGACUCACUUCUAAGUGAUGAAUAGAAUACAGUAGAGGUGACAGGAUGUCACUUUCAAGAUUAGAUUGAAAACAACAAUGGCUUCCACCUUCUCCCCAACCCUCAAUCAAAGACAGCUAUUAAGUUGUAAGCUGUCCUGUAGAAAGGCUCUUGUGCCAAUGAAGUAUUAUCUGUGGCCAACAGUCCACAAUGACUAAGGCCUGCCACCAGCCAUAGGUAAGGGCUUGGAAGCAGAUCUCUCCCAAGUUGAGGUGACUGAAGCCCUGGCUGUCACCUCGGUUGCAGCCUUAUGGAGGGACUCUAAGCCAGAGGCACCCAGCUAAGCCACAUCUGGAUUCCUGACCUGCAAAAAUUAGGAGGUAAUGCCUUGUUGAUUUUUGAGCUGCUACGUUUUGGAGUUAUUUGUUAUGCAGCAAUAGAGAACUAAUAUAACACCAUUUCCUCCUCUCUAGUCACCAUUAUUUAGAAACAACUCCAUGAAUGAACAAUGAGAAUCAAGAGCUGGGAAUCAAUAGUUGAGGUGACAGAUUAGGCAACAGCAUGAUGGCCAGCACGUGUCUCACCCAGAAGCUGUCCUCUUCCUUCUUAUAAGACAAGGCUCUAACUCAUGAGGAUGGUUUUUACCACAAAGUUGCACGAGGUGCUUGAAUUUACCACAAAGUUGCAGGAGGUGCUUGACUAGUACAGGAGCACAGCUAAAAAAGGCUCUGCAGACCAAGUCUUCCAUAUUGAUCACAUCUUAGCUAACACUGCUAUGGCUUAAUUGGGCAAACGGCCAAUGGCAUCUGAUCUGCCAUUUUCCAUUUCUCUCAAAAACUAGUUAAGGUAUGGGAAGGACAUCUACCUCAUUUUCCUCUCCUGCCUCCCCGCCUGCCACACACAUUGAGGGCCAAGAAUGGCUCUUUGUAAAGCUACUUGAAAUAAAUGCUACAGGCCUCGUCCUGCUUGGAAGUAAAUCUGGAUGGAAUGUAAUCAAACAGCAUGCAUUUGGCAUCAACUUAUGUUUGAGCAUUGCAGGUAUAAAAAUGAAAAAUAUGUUUUGGCAGAGAGUUGGACAGAAAGGAAGACUUAAUUAAAUAUCUGAAAUAUACACCACUGGAACCAAUUAAUAAUCAUCAAGGGAUCAGAAAAGGAAGGACAGUAAUAAAAAGAGUUUAUAAAGUCGAAAUUUCAGGUGAGAGGGAAAAAAUCCUAUCCACAUUCUUCUGAAUCUCUGAAUUGGUAAGCAACACUUUAUUUUUCAUUUUCCUAACUAAUAUUUAUGCAUUGUCAAUGUCCUACUGCCUUCAAUAAGUUUACAAUCUAACUGGGAGACCAAAAUCUCUAAAAUGCAAUAAUGUGUGCAUCAAAACUCAAGUUCUUAUCAGGGACUGAUUACUUUGGAGUCCUCAGCUCCAUCUCCUAACCCAUGUAUACACUUUCAUAGUUCCUCUUCAGAAAGGAACUAUUUUUAUUCUGUAAAAAUCUAGUGGUCAAAUGAAAUGGGUAUGCUUUAUAGGUAAGGAUCCUGAAGCAAAAAUCAAAUGCAUAAAGAUUACACGGCAAAUGAAGUAAGAGAUUUUUAAGCUCUGACACCAUUUGAUUUUUAGUUUUUUCUAUCACAAAAUAGUGCUAAUAGCUUAUAAAAUUAAAAUAAGUAAAAGUAGCUUUGUUAAAGCAGAAAGAAACUUACACUUCCCUACAACAAUUUGCAAACUUAAGUCAAAUGAUCAAUGAUCAAAUAGCAGAGGCUGGAGUGUGCCCAAGGGGGACUUGAUCUUAUUCUGGGUGUUUUAGCCCAAGCAGAAAUCAAUGCAGGGUUUUCUGCCACCUGCUUAUUUUGUUUCCAGUCAAGCAAAACAAGGGGCUUAUCUCCCUCACAGAUCAGCAUAUGAGAUAUGCUUCAGAUAUGUUUGCCUGUCAGACUCAUAAACACAACAAGAUAUGCCAGCUGCAAUGAAGAGAAGCCCUGUUUCAGUUCGUGGAUUACAGACUGCAACAUCCAUCAGCAUCAAGACAAACACCUUCAAACUACUGUCCUUGGCGUCCAGCCUAACAGAUCUGAGGAAUGUGAUAAAGGAACACUGGAUUCCCAAGGUCUGCUCAGGUUUCCUUCCAUAACAAGAAGUAGCCAAAUACAGCUGAACAGGCCUGCUGAAACCACUGAUUUCUUUCGUUUAAGUUCAGAGGUUCGUAACCUGCUCAAUGGUUUAAACAACAACAACAAGCAGUAUCGGAAGUCAGCAUCAUCUACUCAGCAGCCCAAAUCUGGAAGGUUUUGGAAAAAAUCAGGACACCACUGUUAACCACCUUAACAAGACUGCAAACACAGGCUGUCUAUUCCUCAUCAACAGAAUCUUUGAUACUGGCAAUUUGUUUAGAUUGGCUUGCAGAAGCAUAUAUUGGUAGCUAUGUUAUGAAUAUUUACCGGUUUCAUACACAUUCAUAAAAAUCAGAAACAUUUUCCUCCUAGGUAUCUGCAUUGGUCUUGAAUGGCUGUUUAAAAAUAAUCAGAAACCCCCACUCAUUCAAGAAUGACUCUUACCUACAACCCAAAUAAGCCAUACAGACAAGGGUAGAUCUCAGAUGAAUGAUAAUCAAGGGCCCUGUUAAAAUCUUCUGAAAUCAAAAAUAAAUAGUAAUUACUUUAUUAUCUAUCUGCCUAUCUAUUCAACCAUUCACAUUCUUUAAAAUUUUUGUAGGUACAUAGUAGGUGUACAUAUUUAUGGGGCAUAAGUUAUAUUUUGAUAUGGGCAUAAAUGUGUAAUAAUCACAUCAGGGUAAAUGGGGUAGCCAUCACCUCAAGCAUUUAUCCUAUUACAAGCAAU